rnacentral:lncRNA from 1 species
AAUCUCAAUUAGGUUCUUCACAUUAUUUUGAUUAAAGUCUGUUCUGUUUGCUAGCCAAGGUAUGCGCUAGCUAGAUAUGUGGUGGCAUUUAUACACACAUUUUGGGAAUUCCUCCCUUUGGUUCUCUCUUCCCAGGGUCUUCUCACUACCAAAUUUUCCAUCAUAUUUGCUUGAACUCUUCUGAGUCUUUUUCAGUUGGAAAACUGCAGAUUUCCUCACAGAGUUUUAGUUGCCUUCAGUUUUGCCAAUUGGGACUUGCUCCCAGUCCAUAAAAAGCAGAAAACUCCGUCAUUCACUCCUGACAGUGCUGAAACCACCCAGGGGAUCUGCCUGCACUUGCUCAUUCUCCAGGGCCAUUGGAUACACACCAACACAUAUAUUUUAAAAUAUAGAAAAUAGGUAAGCUUAUCAAGUAUUCUAAUAUUUAGUCUAGAGUUUACAUAAAGUUGGUAUCUGCUGAAACUUCAGUAUAUCAGGAAUUACUUACUAUAUCAGGAAUGGAACCCCAUAUAAAAGUAUUUAAAAUGCUUCUACCACACUCCUCUUUUGCUCUUUAUAGAGGCUUCCCAACCAUCUCAUGCCGAUUCAUAAACUGUCUCACAGAUGACAAAUUUCAGAUUUGAUCAAUUGUUACAAUUUUUUAAAAACCCAGGAGGGUUGCCAUUACACUGUAGCCUCCUUCUCAUCACCCCUAUAGCAUUCUGAAGACAGACAGACCUGGUAUUGGCACUAGUGUGCACAAAAUGUGUGCAGGCCACAACUGAUCUGAACCACACAGCAUACCUUGCAUCAUCCAGCAAACACUCUGGCCCAACUGUCUCUUCUCUGCCUUUUCUAUAAUCACUGGAAAAAUACAUGACCAGCUUUCCUUCUUGCUAGCGUUUCACGUAAGAUGAAGUUCUGGGCAACUGGCAACUUGCUGGCCUUUCCAGGCUUACUGGGGUGGGGGGGGGGGAGAUUGGUCAAGAGGACACACAGUGGUAGUGUGAAGAGGUGACAGAUGAUGGAUGCCAUAUGCUUCUAAGUUCAAAGGGGCCUUUAAAAAAAAUAAGAAUGAAAGAGGUGAGCUCCAAGAGGGAAGUGGCAGUUACAGAAUUUGAUUUGUUUGAAAGUGAGAUGACAGUGUAUGGUGUCCAAGGACUGAGAGGCCAUGUUUUAGAUGUUGUACCCUGCAAGUCCUGUGGUAAGAGAAGUGGCAGGGGGGAGAGAAUGAGUGUGGAGAGAAAAUCUGUCAGGGAGGAAAAGGGAGAGUCAGAUUGUUGAUGACUGGAUGGAGAAGAGCAGUGGGCAGUGGGCAGUUUGACAUGAAAAUCCAUGCCAGGGAAGCAGACUUCGAGAAAACAGACAUCCCAUUUCCAGGCCUCGUGCUGAAGGCGUGAGAGAGAAGAUGGAUAUCAGUAUUUCUUCUAAUGAAGUUAUUUAAUAAGGAUGUAAUAAAAAUGAAUAUUGCUGCCCCUAACCUGUGUGGGCAGCUGAACUAAGGGUCGCUGGUGUGAAUUUCCUGGGACACCAAGUAAAACAGACACACACUUUACCUUUAAAUCAAGCUCUCGGCCUCAAGCUCCCCAAAUGGGAGAGUGAGGAAAGUCAGAGAGGCUGGCAAGAGAGAGUGAGCAGUUUUGGAAGUGAGUUUUUAUUGGGGGGACCCUCAUUCUUAGAAAGUUCCAUCCAAAAAGGGUCAGGAGGGGCAGGGUUACAAGGACAGGUGAGUGUAAUUUGACCAGGGGGAUGCAGGACAGCACGCCUACGCCUGAAGACACAUCCUCUACCUCGAGGAUUGGGGCAAUGUCCAGAUCACUGCAAAAGUGACUGACAGAGCCUCUCUGAUCACGGGAAGGAAAAUGCGAAUCAUUCAGCAAGACAGCUUCCCACAGAAUAUAAGCAUAAAAAUAAUUAGAUUAAAUAACUACAACAAGGUCCUUUGUCCAUACAUAGCUAGUCUAAUGAUUUAAAAAAUUUCUGCAAACAGUUCUUGAAUACUACCAAAAUUUGUAUUUUGCAAUAAUAUUUAGUGAUUCUAAAGCUAUCUGCUGUACACUGGAGGCCUAAACAAAUGAGUAAACAUAUUGAUGACCCGUUUCUGCCCCUUGGAAAAUAGAAGUCAGUAUGGAGGUGGAGAAGACAAGAAGAACUGUGCAAUAGUUAUUUAUUUGAUAUUGGAGGUAUCAGUAGUUUACACAUAACCCUGAUAUCUCAAUGAUGAGUACACAGGAGACCAAGAGCUUGGUUAUACUAGUCCUCACUGAAAGAAAUUGAGCUCUCUAGAUAAUCUCUCCAGAAUCUGGGGCAGGGAAUAUUCAAGAUUUUUUUUUUUUAUUGUGCCAUAAAACAAGGGCUCAUACUGACAAUAGGAAGCCAUUGCUAAAUACAGAAAAAGUGAUGGAAUACAAAAGUCACUACUCGUAGUCUUCACAGUAAUAAGUGAUUCAGGCAAGAAUCAGCAAACACUAAGACAAAAACUAAUGGGGUAGUUACAAAAUACAGAGAUCUCCCCAUAAAAUACUAAUUUCAAAGACAAAACAGGAACGGAGAAACCUGGCAGUCACCAGUUUAUUCAAGUGAUCAAAACUAGGAUCACCGAUGAAGCCAACACAUUUCCUGUUGUGACACAUCAUUCAUGGAUUACUCGGGCCACACACACUUACCUUGUAUCUAAUCAUGAAGACUCAAACCCAAAUUUAGGGAUGUUCUUCAAAAUAACUAGCCUGUACUCUUCAGCAAUGUCCACUUCAUGAAAGACCAAAAAGCUAUGGUACUGAUCCAGAUUGAAGACAAACAUGUAAACUAAAUUGCAGGAUGUGGACAAUCUAGAUCAGAUCCUAAAACAGUGCUGUGCACAUAUGGGGCAGUUGUCUAAUUUGAAUAAACUAGAAUAGGAAAUAUCAUCAACACAUAGUGGUCCUAUAAUGUGUUUAGAAUUUCUCCUCCUUGGCCUUGGUGGGCCUUCAUGACCCCACAGUUCACUGGCUGAGGCAGAAGGGGUAUCUUCCAAGGACAAAUAGAAAAGGCCACAGUAUUUGUGUGAGCUUUCCUCAGGAAAGCUUUGUGGCUUUGGGCCACAGUGUGAUGUCCAGUUACUGUGAAGUCAGUGCUGCAGAUGCCACAUGAUAGACUUUCUGAAAAAUACCAAAACGUCUGGAGCUGCCACGUGGGAAUUGAGUGCACCAUAGCUUUGAGCAAUGAGUGUGGGGCUGUGGCAAGCCAGCCAUGGGCCGUGUGUGUGUGUGAACUAUAAAAAAGAGUACACAGGAGAGCACACAAAGUGGACUGAAACAAAGUUGCCCCUCUGUUUUGGGGGCUUUGCUCUGGUCUUUUCACUUGUUCUGCCAUGACCCCCACAUAGCUAAUGAGAUGGUUGUGGCCUUCCUAGAUGUCAGUCAACCUGCUGACAGCAAGACCUCCUGAAGCUAGACUCAACCCUGAAACCUGACCCCUUGCCUCAUUUGAAUGGCUUCUCCCCAAUAGAAGGGUUUAGCAUGUGCUGGUUCUCUUUGGUCUUUCUCGCCUGCCUUCUCCCCCACCCCUUGUGGGAGCUGCAACUGAGGAGCGGUCACUGAACCCAAAGAAAAGGUACUUUCUGUGUCUGUCUUUAUUAUUCCCCAAAUUCACUUGGAGUGACACUAACCUGUUUAGUCGUGUGAUGCAACACCAAAAUGUGGGGAGCCACUCUGGACAGGAACUUUGUACACACCUUUAAGUCCAGCGUAAAGAGGUACUGAACUGGUAUUGCACCCACU